UAGGGAAUCUUCGGCAAUGGACGAAAGUCUGACCGAGCAACGCCGCGUGAGUGAAGAAGGCUUUCGGAUCGUAAAACUCUGUUGGUAGAGAAGAACGUUGGUGAGAGUGGAAAGCUCAUCAAGUGACGGUAACUACCCAGAAAGGGCGGCUAACUACGCGCCAC
rnacentral:rRNA from 1 species